ensembl:lncRNA
CAUUCAUUCAUUUCUUCUAGGUUAAAGAGCCAUUUGAGCUGGUCGGAAUGGACCUCAUUGGGAAGCUGACAGUCACCGACAGAGGGAACCAGUACAUUUGCGUCAUGUUGGACUACCUCACUAAGUGGCCACAAGCUUAUGCCCUUCCAUCGAAGACAGCAAAAGAAGUCACUGGGUGUCUCUUGAAGUUUGUGCACCAAUUUGAAGCACCUAAGAGAGUCCUCACAGACCAGGGGACGGAGUUUGUAAAUGCUCUCAACAAAAAUGUUUGUGAAGUAUUGCAAAUCAAAAGGAGUCUUUGUGCUCCGUAUCAUCCACAAACCAAUGGUUUAGUGGAAAGGAUGAAUGCAACCAUACAGAGAGCACUUUGCAAACUGGUGGGAAACAACC